AGUCUGACGGAGCACGCCGCGUGAGUGAUGAAGGUUUUCGGAUCGUAAAACUCUGUUGUAGGGAAGAACAAGUACCGUUCGAAUAGGGCGGUACCUUGACGGUACCUAACCAGAAAGCCACGGCUAACUACGUGCCAGCAGCCGCGGUAAUACGUAGGUGGCAAGCGUUGUCCGGAAUUAUUGGGCGUAAAGCGCGCGCAGGCGGUUUCUUAAGUCUGAUGUGAAAGCCCCCGGCUCAACCGGGGAGGGUCAUUGGAAACUGGGGAACUUGAGUGCAGAAGAGGAGAGUGGAAUUCCACGUGUAGCGGUGAAAUGCGUAGAGAUGUGGAGGAACACCAGUGGCGAAGGCGACUCUCUGGUCUGUAACUGACGCUGAGGCGCGAAAGCGUGGGGAGCGAACAGGAUUAGAUACCCUGGUAGUCCACGCCGUAAACGAUGAGUGCUAAGUGUUAGAGGGUUUCCGCCCUUUAGUGCUGCAGCAAACGCAUAAGCACUCCGCCUGG
rnacentral:rRNA from 1 species